UGGGCGGCCAGAUCUAUCCAUUCAAAUUUUGAAUUCCUUUACUCUUCCCAACUCCCAAGGCCAGAUCUAUCCAUUCAACAUUCAUGUUUCUCUAAUGUUCUUCCAUCUUCUCCCAGAGAAAACCUAAUAUUGCCACCACCGCCAUAACACCGCAGCAACAAUAAAAGCCCCACAUACCUUCUCUCUUUAAAGAACUCAAUGCCAUCAGCCACCAUCGCUUCCUACGAAAUCGGCUCCUCCCACAUAACUUUCACAGCUCAUAACCCACCACAACUUCUUGAUUUAAGGUCGUAUGGCCUGGAUCAGCGGUUUACUGGGCCAAAUCUACAAAUCUUAGGGCAUCAAGUACACAUACGGCUCUGACCGGGUAGAAUUCUAACACACCCUAAAAGCCGACGUCGUUGCUGUGAAGCCCACCCACGUGUUCAAUGCCGCCGGUCGACCGAAAUGUCACACAAGGGUCUGUGUUCAAACAUCCAAAUCCUCUAUAAAAUAAAGAAGGCCAGUCAAUUCAAUAAGUUAGGGUUUUAUAUUUUUUGUUCAAAUUUAGAGCAUAAUCUGAUAUAAAUCGAUGUUUCUAUUGUAAUCAUGAGCUUGUAUGUGAUUAUUUGGUCAAUAAUCAUGUUUUUGAGGAAACUAAGUGGUGGAUUUAGGAAUAAUGCCGACAAAAAGUCGAGAUAAGAGCAAAACAGUGAAGAUGGGAGUGAGGAUUGUUACUCAAUCGACUGGCUAUACGCAGCCUUGGUGGCAUAGGAUUACAGAUGGUGUCGUGUUGUCUUUUUGUUACUCAAUCGACGUGUUGUCUUUUCAUUUUGAAUGGAUUAAUUGUUGAUUUCAGGGUGCAAGUUAAGAUGCACGUGCAAUGCUCUUGAUGGAGGAUAUCAUAACUCUUGAAUUACUGGUAUAUUUCUGGGGCCUGGAUGUGGGGAAGAGGAGUCGUUUCUGAUGGUCAAUCUAUUGCUUAUGGAAGUUAUGCUGAAAGGUUCAUGGCCCCUAAUGAACUUUAGUCAGAUCCAAACACAAAGAGCCUGAAGAUUGGUGACCCUUGGUGGCAACGGUCAUGAAGAAGCUAUGGUAGCAGUCGGAAUCAAGAGUAGAUGGAAACGGUUUUGGGUUGCUAGGGUUCUAUCAUGAACCCAGGUAGUGCUGGCGCCUUAGAAGAGCCCGAUGAUGAUUAGGGAUUGAUUCCAGGUUAUGUUGAAGUUGGGCGAUAUACAUAAAAAACAAUUUCAUACAUGAUAAAACAAGGGGAAGCUUUGUCUCUUGUGUCCUGCCUAAAAAGAGGCAGAAGUGAAUUAUCUCGGGCAACUUUUGCACCCGAAUCUCGUACAAUUGAUCGGAUAUUGUUUGGAGGACAAACAACGGCUUUUAUUGUACAAAUUCAUGCCUUGUGGGAGCUUGGAAAAUCACUUAUUUAGGAGAGGACCUUAUUUUCAACCAUUAUCGUGGAGUCUUCGGUUAAAGGUUGCUCUCGGAGCUGCUAAAGGACUUGUUUUUCUUCAUGGUGCGAAAGCAAAAGUGAUUUAUCGCGAUUGCAAGACUUCUAAUGCGUUGCUAGAUUCGGACUACAACGCAAAGCUAUCAGAUUUCGUGGCUAGCCAAGGAUUGACUGAUCGGUGAUAAGAGCCAUGUCUCGACUAGAGUCAUGGGGACGUACGGAACUGCCCAAUUGGUAAUAAGAGCCAUGUCUCGACUAGAGUCAUGGGAUUUGAUCUUUUGCUGAUGUGUAUAAGCUCAUGUUACCAUGAACAAGUACACUUGGGAACUGUCGUUGACUCCAUCAGGUCUGCAAGUUUGUGGAUGACAGAAUGCCCAUUAAGAAGACAAGUUCUACUAUAGUGAAACAUGGUUCUGAAAAGAAGACAAGUUCCACCAUUUUAUAGUGAUGUUAUAAAUCUACACUGGUCGUUGAGUUCGAUGUGAAACCAGGCAUGGGUUACUUUUGUGAUUCAUUUGUCAUGUAAAUUUUAUAUAAAAUAAACCCCACCUUCCCUUGUAUGGCAACAAGUUACUUCAUAUACAGAGACUUCAUUUACGUUGUAUAGUGAUAGUACAAUAUGACGCAUGACUUUCUUUUGAA